UGGGAUUUUUACACACAUAACACUUAAAACUAAUAAAAAUACCUAUUCAACACCUAAAAUCAAAUAUUUACUUAUAUACCACCGCUUUCUCAUUCUAACCAUUCGCUAUACCACUCCGUUAGCCGAUCGUCAAACCCCUCUCCCCGAACCCAAUCUUCGUCUAAAAGCGAAGAGAAAGCCCCCCUACUUGCGCCUCCGCUUGCCUUCAGUCGCACAAGGUAAGAUUUUGGAUCCGCUCCAUCACUUUCGCACGCGUUGGCUUUCCUCCAGUCGGGAGAGGUAAUUUCUUCUCCAUUGCAUCCGAAUCGCACGCCUCUGCUUCCAUUGGCAUACAUCUUCUAAGCUCGAACGCAUCUGCUUCCCUUGGCAUCGCAAGUUGUAAGGUUUUCCUCUCGCACGCAUUUCUUCCUGAUUUUAGCAUUUCUUACUGAUUUUAAGCAUUUCUUACUGAUUUUAGCAUUUCUUAAGGUCGGCAAUCAUCUCUUACUGAUUUGAGAUCUGUUUCUUAAGGUCGGCAACCAUUUCUCACUGAUUUGAGAUCUGUUUCUUAAGCAACUAUGAGUUCAAGCUCUUCAACGGUGCCAAUUAGAAACCCAAGUAACCGAAUUUAUUGUCAUUGCAAUUUGCAAUGUACAGUAUACAGUCACAGAAGUCGCAUAGUAAAGGAAGAAAAUUAUAUAGAUG